rnacentral:rRNA from 1 species
UCAAGAUGAGACUUCCCAUAGCGCAAGCUAGUAAGACCCCUCAUAGACGAUGAGGUUGAUAGGUUCGGUGUGGAAGUGCAGUAAUGCAUGGAGCUGACGAAUACUAAUCGGUCGAGGACUUAUCCAC